UACGAAGGGUGCAAACGUUGCUCGGAAUUAUUGGGCGUAAAGCGCACGUAGGCGGCUUUGCAAGUCGGAUGUGAAAUCCCUCGGCUUAACCAAGGAAGUGCAUCCGAAACUGCAGAGCUUGAGUACUUAAGAGGAUCGCGGAAUUCCGAGUGUAGAGGUGAAAUUCGUAGAUAUUCGGAAGAACACCAGUGGCGAAGGCGGCUGACUGGACAUGUAUUGACGCUGAGGUGCGAAAGCGUGGGGAGCAAACAGG
rnacentral:rRNA from 1 species